rnacentral:rRNA from 1 species
AGUGAACGCUGGCGGUAGGCCUAACACAUGCAAGUCGAACGGCAGCACAGUAAGAGCUUGCUCUUACGGGUGGCGAGUGGCGGACGGGUGAGGAAUACAGCGGAAUCUACUUUUUCGUGGGGGAUAACGUAGGGAAACUUACGCUAAUACCGCAUACGACCUACGGGUGAAAGCAGGGGAUCUUCGGACCUUGCGCGAUUGAAUGAGCCGAUGUCGGAUUAGCUAGUUGGCGGGGUAAAGGCCCACCAAGGCGACGAUCCGUAGCUGGUCUGAGAGGAUGAUCAGCCACACUGGAACUGAGACACGGUCCAGACUCCUACGGGAGGCAGCAGUGGGGAAUAUUGGACAAUGGGCGCAAGCCUGAUCCAGCCAUACCGCGUGGGUGAAGAAGGCCUUCGGGUUGUAAAGCCCUUUUGUUGGGAAAGAAAAGCAGCAGGUUAAUACCCCGCUGUUCUGACGUUACCCAAAGAAUAAGCACCGGCUAACUUCGUG